rnacentral:rRNA from 1 species
AACGAACGCUGGCGGCGUGGAUAAGACAUGCAAGUCGAACGCUGAUUUCAGGGUAGCAAUAUUCUGGAGUCGGAGUGGCGCAAGGGUGCGUAACACGUGGGUAAUUUGCCGUGAAGUUGGGGAUAACUCGCUGAAAGGCGAGCUAAUACCGAAUGUGAUCAUUGGAAGGCAUCUUCUGAUGAUUGAAGUUGGGGACCGCAAGGCCUGACGCUUCACGAUAAGCCCGCGGCCUAUCAGCUAGUUGGUGAGGUAACGGCCCACCAAGGCUUAGACGGGUAGCUGGUCUGAGAGGACGACCAGCCACACUGGAACUGAGACACGGUCCAGACACCUACGGGUGGCAGCAGUCGAGAAUUUUCUCAAUGGGCGAAAGCCUGAAGGAGCGACG